UCUAACCAUAAUAAACCAAUACUCUAUUGUAUCUAAUAUAUUCGUGUCUUGGAUAGCUCCUGGGCUUUGCUUUUAUUUCGCUCGCCUGAUCCUCUUUGUCGUGCUCUUACUUCGUGGGAUCAAGCAAGGUCUAUCUUCACCUUAGACGCUUCUCGAAUCUUUUGGUUUGGAUUCAACUCAGGCUCCAGUAUCUUUGGUCUUCUAUCAGUUGAGUUAUAAGUUUUUUUUUUUUUGUUUCUUUGUCAUAAAUACUUUAUUUCUUGUUUAUUUCUAUUUGUUUCUGGUUUUUUUUUGUUGGGCUUUUGUCUCCGGAAUAUUUGUUUUAUAAUUUGUGUUCCAAUAUUUUAAUAAACUUUUAGAUCACAAAAGAAUACAAAUGAUAUGAAAGUCAGUUAACUUAUCUUGUGAUAUCGUUUAUAGUGAAAUAAGCUAUUUUCAGCUUUAGCUUCUGAAAAGCGUCACUGAAAGUCAUUCUACUUUAAACAUGUUAUUUUAGGUGACACUUAACCAGGAUCUCAUUUAAAUUAGUACAAACUUAAUGUUACAACUUUUUAAAUGAACCUCAAUUAAUAUAUAGAGAAUUAACCGGGUCUCGUAGUCUGGUGGUAAAGGAACCUCGGCUGAGGUGCCCGCCAUCACGAGUUCGAGCCCCGGCCACAGCGGAUUUAACAUGGUUUAUGUUUGGUCUUCAGGACCCUUCCUCGCCAGUUCCGGUUGAACGCGGUAGGAUAAUCAGACUAAAUGAGAGGUCCGGAUACCUAGAUUAUCAAAGAAAAAAAAAAGCGUCACUGAAAACGGAAACGUUGAAUCAAUA
rnacentral:lncRNA from 1 species